UGUGCAAAAGUUCACUAAAUUGUACUCUAUCUACACCUUCCUCUUAAUUAGUUUUGUUUCUCUAUAUCAUUUCCAUAUCUGACACACAAGAGGAGAAUACUUUAUUCUCUAGGGAAGGAAUAAAAAGGAGCCAAGAACUGAACUCAGCCAACCAGCUGUUUCUUUGACCUGAAUAAUGUUUAAAAUGGGUUUUAAUUUAAAUGUCUUUAGGUGUGACCUGAACUCUUCCCAAGUCCAGCAAUUCCUUAUUGUCUUAUACCAAAGAUUUACCCAUUUAUGUUUCCUUCCUAAUUUUUUUACCUUUGAUGUGUGCUCCCAUUCCAGGAGUUUCUAUCCCAGGCAUAACAUGGAAAUAAGGACCUAGAGGAAAUGCUUAUAAUAUUGGGGUAAACUUGAGAGGAGUGACAGCCCCCACUUAAACUGUGAAGCAAGGCAGCUCUUGUGCUUUUUCCACUGGCUUUCCUCUGGUACAGAUCAUCUUUUCAGUAAUACAUUUAUUGUGUGAAUUAACAUGGACUUGUAUAAUUUGAGAGGGUUAGAAGAAAACUAUGUGCAAUAUGAAGCAAGAUCAAAGAGUUUCUGAAAAGAUACAAAACUGCUGGUAUAAUGGGAACCAUAUCUCUGACAGCACAAGAUCAAGGAACAGAGAGAGGAGGGAGUGAAUACCUAACUUUUGGGAAAUGAAAAAGGCCACAUGAUAUGUUAGCUGAAUCUUGACUG